rnacentral:rRNA from 1 species
AGCAGCCGCGGUAAUUCCAGCUCCAAUAGCGUAUAUUAAAGUUGUUGCAGUUAAAAAGCUCGUAGUUGAAUUUCGGGAUUGGCGCAUCGGUCGUGCCUCACGGGGUAUGAACUGGUGCAGUCAAUUUCUCACCUUCUGGAGAACCGCGAUGUCCUUAAUUGGAUGCCGCGGGGAACCAGGACCUUUACUUUGAAAAAAUUGAGUGUUUAAAGCAGGCAUUUUUGCUUGAAUACAUUAGCAUGGAAUAAUAAAAUAGGACGGCAUGGUUCUAUUUUGUUGGUUUCUAGGACCACCGUAAUGAUUAAUAGGGAUAGUUGGGGGCAUUAGUAUUCAAUUGUCAGAGGUGAAAUUCUUGGAUUUAUUGAAGACUAACUACUGCGAAAGCAUUUGCCAAGGAUGUUUUCAUUAAUCAAGAACGAAAGUUAGGGGAUCGAAGACGAUCAGAUACCG